rnacentral:rRNA from 1 species
GAUGAACGCUGGCGGCGUGCCUAAUACAUGCAAGUCGAGCGAACGGACGAGAAGCUUGCUUCUCUGAUGUUAGCGGCGGACGGGUGAGUAACACUUGGAUAACCUACCUAUAAGACUGGGAUAACUUCGGGAAACCGUAGCUAAUACCGGAUAAUAUUUUGAACCGCAUGGUUCAAAAGUGAAAGACUGUCUUGCUGUCACUUAUAGAUGGAUCCGCGCUGCAUUAGCUAGUUGGUAAGGUAACGGCUUACCAAGGCAACGAUGCAUAGCCGACCUGAGAGGGUGAUCGGCCACACGGGAACUGAGACACGGUCCAGACUCCUACGGGAGGCAGCAGUAGGGAAUCUUCCGCAAUGGGCGAAAGCAUGACGGAGCAACGCCGCGUGAGUGAUGAAGGUCUUCGGAUCGUAAAACUCUGUUAUUAGGGAAGAACAUAUGUGUAAGUAACUGUGCACAUCUUGACGGUACCUAAUCAGAAAGCCACGGCUAACUACGUG